ACCGCUUCUCGGCCUUUUGGCUAAGAUCAAGUGUAGUAAAUGUUCUCUACAACACUAUAAGUUAGAUGCCAUUACCUGAAACAUUUUAUAGAUUAGGUAACUGGAAGUGGAGAUGAUUUGCUCGAGGAUCUACAAUUAAUAACAAAGUAACUCAGAUAUGAUUCUACAUCUGGCUGACUUAAAAUUU